rnacentral:sRNA from 1 species
GCCCCUGGAGCCUGUGAUUUGUCAGGGAAAUCUCAGCCACCUGCUCCCCUCAUGCAAAUGACCCAAGCCCCUGGCAGCUGCUCCUUAGAACUCCAAGUCUAAGCCCUGUCUUCCCUCACUGAGCUUUGCUGAGACUUAGGGCCGCCUGCUUUCUCUCUGACUCCUGCUUUCACAGCCUUGAGAGGGCAAAGGAGGGGGCCAGACCCCAGCCUGGGAGCAGGGUGCAGGGCUUCCCUCCACUUGAAAUCCGUUGCCCACCCACAACAGGGGCAGACCUGUCCAUCCUUCUCUGUGGGUCCCCUGUACCUUUCUCCCCUGACAGGAUCAGACCCAGAGGCAGCUGGUUGGGGUUUGUCGAGAAGAAGGAUUAUCCAGAUCAGUCCUUUCUAAUCUCAGCUCCUGCCUGUACCCUCCCAUACUCACCAAACCCUCUUCCUCACCACCCUGAGCCUAAGGAGCACAGUUUGAGGUACGGACAAUGGGGCCAUCUAUCACCCUUAUAUCCCGCCUCCUGGCCUGGUUGCUAAGUGGCGCUGACUGCCAAGAUCAUCACCAUGGAUGGGGGCCGGGACCAGGGGGGCCACUGGAGCUGUAGUUGCCUCUGCUCCUUUGCACCCCUCCCAAACCCCAACCCUUAAUCCUCACAGCUUUACUCUAAUCCUGUGGGGCCUGAUGCUCUUAUCUCUGCCUGCAGAGACUGACCAGGGAAGAACCCCUUCACCCCCUCCUCUCUCAGGGCUUGUGGUGGGGGCCGCUCCUCUCUAUGUCCCCACACUCCUGCCCCCAACCCUCCUCCAGGCUGAGCUCAAGUCUCUCUGGAAUCCGCACACCUCCCUCCCUCCCUGUCCUCUUCCACCCACCCCUACCAGCUGAUUUCAUUUGCCUGACAUCGUGGUUGGCUCUACCCUUCCCUGUCAGGCCCCCCCCAACCCCCGCCGGCCGGGGCCAGGCCAGGCCAGCUCCUCUGGCAGCAGAGCCUGGGCAGGUGACAGGCGGGCGCGGGCGUCGCAGCUGAGGGAGUAAGGAGGCUCCCAGGAACCGGAGCUGGAAACCCGGCUGAGGUCCAGCCAGAGCCCAAGAGCCAGAGCUACCCCUCGACCUGUCAGCCAUGGGGGAGAUGGAGCAACUGCGUCAGGAAGCGGAGCAGCUCAAGAAGCAGAUUGCAGUAACUCCAGAGCCCUCCCACUGGGGCCCCAGAAAACAGCUGGGGACAUGAGGCAGUGUGGCCCAGGGGGAGGGGGCUGGGUUUGCUCUUGAGUGACUGGAAGUGACCAGGGACUUUCUAAACUCGGCUUGCAUAUUUGAGACCCCCAAGCCCCAGAGCCCCAAGUCCAACCUGGCCUGAAGGCCCAUGCGCCCGCCUCGCCCUUGCUCCUCUGAUGUCUCCUUUCCCUGCAGGAUGCCAGGAAAGCCUGUGCUGACGUUACUCUGGCAGAGCUGGUGUCUGGCCUAGAGGUGGUGGGACGAAUCCAGAUGCGGACGCGGCGGACGUUAAGGGGGCACCUGGCCAAGAUCUACGCCAUGCACUGGGCCACUGAUUCUAAGCUGCUGGUAAGUGCCUCGCAAGAUGGGAAGCUGAUCGUGUGGGACAGCUACACCACCAACAAGGUGCACGCCAUCCCACUGCGCUCCUCCUGGGUCAUGACCUGUGCCUAUGCCCCAUCAGGGAACUUUGUGGCAUGUGGGGGGCUGGACAACAUGUGUUCCAUCUACAACCUCAAAUCCCGUGAGGGCAAUGUCAAGGUCAGCCGGGAGCUUUCUGCUCACACAGGUUAUCUCUCCUGCUGCCGCUUUCUGGAUGACAACAAUAUUGUGACCAGCUCAGGGGACACCACGUGGUGAGGCUGAAUGUUGCUGGUGCUGGGGCUUGGGAGUGGGUCUGGCCUUUCUCUAACAGUCUCCCUCCCUUUUGGCAGUGCCUUGUGGGACAUUGAGACUGGGCAGCAGAAGACUGUGUUCGUGGGACACACGGGUGACUGCAUGAGCCUGGCUGUGUCUCCUGACUUCAAUCUCUUCAUUUCGGGGGCCUGUGAUGCCAGCGCCAAGCUCUGGGAUGUGCGAGAGGGGACCUGCCGUCAGACUUUCACUGGCCACGAGUCUGACAUCAAUGCCAUCUGUUUCUUCCCCAGUGGAGAGGCCAUCUGCACGGGCUCGGAUGAUGCUUCCUGCCGCUUGUUUGACCUGCGGGCAGACCAGGAGCUGAUCUGCUUCUCCCACGAGAGCAUCAUCUGCGGCAUCACGUCCGUGGCCUUCUCCCUCAGUGGCCGCCUGCUAUUCGCUGGCUACGACGACUUCAACUGCAAUGUCUGGGACUCCAUGAAGUCUGAGCGUGUGGGCAUCCUCUCUGGCCACGAUAACAGGGUCAGCUGCCUGGGAGUCACAGCUGAUGGGAUGGCUGUGGCCACAGGUUCCUGGGACAGCUUCCUCAAAAUCUGGAACUGAGGAGGCUGGAGAAAGGGAAGUGGAAGGCAAUGAAGACACUCAGCAGCCCCCUCCCUGACCCCAUGUCAUUCAGGUGUUCUCUUCUAUAUUCCAGGUGCCAUUCCCACUAAGCUUUCUCCUUUGAGGGCAGUGGGGAGCAUGGGGACUGUGCCUUUGGGAGGCAGCAUCAGGGACACGGGGGCAAAGAACUGCCCCAUCUCCUCCCAUGGCGUUCCCUCCCCACAGUCCUCACAGCCUCUCCCUUAAUGAGCAAGGACAACCGGCCCCUCCCCAGCCCUUUGCAGGCCCAGCAGACUUCAGUCUGAGGCCCCAGGCCCUAGGAUUCCUCACCCAGAGCCACUCCCUUUGUCCAGACCUGGGUGGUAUAGGGCGUUUGGCCCUGGGACUAUGGCUCUGGCACCACUAGGGUCCUGGCCCUCUUCUUAUUCAUGCUUUCUCCUUUUUCUACCUUUUCUUCUCUCCUAAGACACCUGCAAUAAAGUGUAGCACCCUGGUA